rnacentral:rRNA from 1 species
UACAGAGGUCUCAAGCGUUGUUCGGAUUCAUUGGGCGUAAAGAGCUCGUAGGCGGUUUGUCGCGUCUGCCGUGAAAGUCCGGGGCUCAACUCCGGAUCUGCGGUGGGUACGGGCAGACUAGGGUGAUGUAGGGGAGACUGGAAUUCCUGGUGUAGCGGUGAAAUGCGCAGAUAUCAGGAGGAACACCGAUGGCGAAGGCAGGUCUCUGGGCAUUAACUGACGCUGAGGAGCGAAAGCAUGGGGAGCGAACAGG